rnacentral:tRNA from 1 species
GGAGAUGUCGCCUAGAGGCCUAUGGCGCCAGCUUGGAAAGCUGGUUGGGGUCCGCCCCUCGGAGGUUCGAAUCCUCUCAUCUCCG